UACGGGGGAGCAAGCGUUGUUCGGAUUUACUGGGCGUAAAGGGCGCGUAGGCGGUCAGCACAAGUCGGUUGUGAAAUCUCCGGGCUUAACUCGGAAAGGUCAACUGAUACUGUGCGACUAGAGUGCAGAAGGGGCAACUGGAAUUCUCGGUGUAGCGGUGAAAUGCGUAGAUAUCGAGAGGAACACCUGCGGCGAAGGCGG
rnacentral:rRNA from 1 species